GGCAAAAUGAGGCCUAGUGCAUGCAAAGGCAUGCCACCUUUACAUGUAUACACAGGACACAGGCCUCUCUGUUGUCUUCUCCUCACAGAUUUGGCACUUCAGCUUUGCAACACAACCUGCCUCUGCUCUCCCUUUGGGGCCUGAGGGCUAUUUUGCCACAGACUGCUGCUGUGAGGAGGAGACAGCAGGCUGGGAUAGAGCUGGCAGCCAGGAGAUGAGGGAACUGCGGAUGGAGCAGGUGCCAUGAGGAGCUGGUGGAGGGAAACCGCUCUGAGGGUUACUAGGAGUGAGGUCCCCCGCUGAUGCAGUUUAUCUGGCUACCUAUUGAGGACACAGCCCACUCACAAGAGAGAAAGAUGAACUACAUAAGAAUCUGCCUAGCAACAAAAGAUGCUCUCUCGCCCUCUAGUGGAAGAUAAUAACAUCGUUGUUUUUCCUUUGCAUCUGUAAACCAUCAGAAUUCACUGUGUGCAUCUGAAAUUCUGGAAAGUGACGAUGAGAAUCCCAGAGAGGAAUUUUUCAUUAAAGUGAGCAGUAUAUUAACAGAAAGACAGACACAUAAGUAUGAACUACUCCAGUUUUAACAGGGGCAAAAUACAAGGUGCAGAUAUACUGUUUUUUUUGUAUCAAAUUAUUCCAACUACUGAGAAAUUACUGUGGUGCUCUGUUUAACCAGUCUACAGAAUAGUGUCUUCACCAUCACAAAAGUUGAACCAAGACUCUGUAGCUGAUACGCAAUGUCACUUACAACAUUAAUCAGAUACUGCAUUUAAGGUAGGAGGCACGUCGAAUCUAUUUUUAACUCUUACGCAGUCCACGUUGUGCAAUGGGCUUUGGUUGUCGAGUUUAUAUUUUCAGCUGUGAUAUCAAUAGGCUGAUUUUCAGUAAAUGUGACAAGUGGCCUUUGCAGUGGUCAGCUUCAAGCUCUGAACACUCUGAGGAGGAGGAAAAAAAACAACAACCUUGCGUUGCAGUUUCGGAAAACCUUGGAUGAGGACAUUUUUUUCCCCACUCCUGCUUUCCCUAUUGAUAAACUCAGUUCUCCUGAUCACGGUCUAUUCAAGCUGCUUCCCAUCUGGUUUUUGACAACUGCUUCUAAAAAAAAUUAUCAAGAAGACCAAGAAUAGAAUUUAUCUCCAUCGCUUUUCACAAAAAUGGCUGGGUGCACUGCCCUGCUGGCACUGCACUAAGUGAGACACGCAGGUAGGUUGAGAUUUGCAUGUUUUACUGAUUUCUUCGUCAGUGUUGCAAGAACAUGAAAUGGGCUUUGGAAUGUAGCUUUCAGAUUUAAAAAAAAAGUACUAAAUUGCUAAUGAAGACAACAGUGUCAAACUGUUGGCUUCGGUUAUUGGCAUGACAGUUGUUUUUAUUUGCUUUUAAAACAAUCUAUUGUGAAAGUGGAGCAGUCAUGCCUGUUAAAAUAAUCAUAUGUACUAAGGGCGUGGCAACGCUUCUGCAACAAAAGAAUUUUUGAAAACCCUAUUGAUUCAAUCCCAUUUUAAAGCUGACUACAGGCAUUUCUGAGCAUGCACUGAAAAUGCAAAAAUAAAAAUGGAGGUAGAUAAGAAAAAUGAAAAACAUUCCAAUUGCUGUAAGCGGUUUUCUGCGUUUUGUGCGAAAUCUUAAAUAAAGAUUAAUAUGCU
rnacentral:lncRNA from 7 species